rnacentral:snoRNA from 15 species
UGAUGACUGUUCCUCCUAUUGCCUAGAGCUCUGGCAUUAGGAUUUUAUGUCAUCAUACAUUAAAAUUUGACUUUUUUCACUCAGAGAAUAUUUGGGAUAAAUGGAUUAUCCUUUUCUUCUCUGAAAUUUGCGGAGUCAAACACUU